GAUGAACGCUAGCUACAGGCUUAACACAUGCAAGUCGAGGGGUAACGAGAGGAAAGCUUGCUUUCCUUGUCGACGACCGGCGCACGGGUGAGUAACGCGUAUCCAACCUGCCCCCAACUAGGGAAUAACCUUGCGAAAGUAAGACUAAUACCCUAUACUUUCCUCAGAUGACAUCUGACGAGGAAUAAAGAUUUAUCGGUUGUGGAUGGGGAUGCGUCUGAUUAGCUUGUUGGCGGGGUAACGGCCCACCAAGGCAACGAUCAGUAGGGGUUCUGAGAGGAAGGUCCCCCACAGUGGAACUGAGACACGGUCCAAACUCCUACGGGAGGCAGCAGUGAGGAAUAUUGGUCAAUGGGCGGAAGCCUGAACCAGCCAAGUAGCGUGCAGGAUGACGGCCCUAUGGGUUGUAAACUGCUUUUAUACAGGAAUAAAGUUAGCCACGUGUGGUUAUUUGUAGGUACUGUAUGAAUAAGGACCGGCUAAUUCCGUGCCAGCCGCCGCAGUAA
rnacentral:rRNA from 1 species